rnacentral:lncRNA from 1 species
AUGUCUGACAAUAUUUUUCCCUCAAACGCAGGAGAGCUGAGUGUUUUGUAAUUAAGAGAGAAAAUAAAGAAAACGGUCCCUUACAAACAACUAAUCUAUCACUACGCCAGAAACAAUUUGUGCUGGCACCUUAAUUUUUGAGUGCUGACGGGAAAAAUUGCCACCCACCAGUACAAAUGGUCAAGUGGCCAGCUCAUACCCGCCACUACAGAUGUAUUUGUGCUGACGGGUGACAUAACCACCCGCCAGCACAGAUGCCCUCGGUAUUUAUCUCUUCCUCCUCCUGUCUCUCUUUCGCUUCCUCACAUCUCUAUCUUAUAUGUUUCCUCUCUCACCAUCUCUAUCUUAUCUCUUUCCUC